GAUGAAGAACGCAGCGAAACGCGAUAAGUAAUGUGAAUUGCAGAAUCCAGUGAAUCAUCGAAUCUUUGAACGCACAUUGCGCCCGCCAGCAUUCUGGCGGGCAUGCCUGUUCGAGCGUCAUUUCAACCCUCGACCUCCCCUUGGGGAGGUCGGCGUUGGGGACCGGCAGCACACCGCCGGCCCUGAAAUGGAGUGGCGGCCCGUCCGCGGCGACCUCUGCGCAGUAAUACAGCUCGCAUCGGGACCCCGACGCGGCCACGCCGUAAAACACCCAACUUCUGAACGUUGACCUCGAAUCAGGUAGGACUACCCGCUGAACUUAAGCAUAUCAAUAAGCGGAGGA
rnacentral:misc_RNA from 1 species